AUUUCAGUAUGGUAACUUUAAUUUCUUAAAAUGGUUUAUUUGGAUAUUUUGUAAAAUUUACGUUUUAGUCCUUAAACUGUGUUUUGAAAUUAAGUGAGUUUUAAAUGUCAUUUUAAGCUAAAAUUUUCACCAAUCGUUUAAAAUGACACUUGUUGGAAAAAAUUUAUGCUUUGCACAUAUGAUAUAUAAAAUAACGAUUUUACCCUGUUUAUAAUUUGUUAUUUUAUGGUGUGUUUACAUGACCAGUAAGGACAGUC
rnacentral:lncRNA from 1 species